rnacentral:rRNA from 1 species
GUGAGGAAUAUUGGUCAAUGGACGAGAGUCUGAACCAGCCAAGUCGCGUGAAGGAAGACGGUUCUAUGAAUUGUAAACUUCUUUUGUGCAGGAAUAAAGUGGGUUACGUGUAACCUUUUGUAUGUACUGUACGAAUAAGGAUCGGCUAACUCCGUGCCAGCAGCCGCGGUAAUACGGAGGAUCCGAGCGUUAUCCGGAUUUAUUGGGUUUAAAGGGUGCGUAGGUGGAUUGAUAAGUCAGCGGUGAAAGUUUGCAGUUUAACUGUAAAAUUGCCGUUGAAACUGUCGGUCUUGAGUGCAAAUGAGGUAGGCGGAAUGUGUUGUGUAGCGGUGAAAUGCUUAGAUAUAACACAGAACUCCGAUUGCGAAGGCAGCUUACUGGGAUGCAACUGACACUGAUGCACGAAAGCGUGGGUAUCAAACAGGAUUAGAAACCCGGGUAGUCC